CCUACGGGGGGCAGCAGUGAGGAAUAUUGGUCAAUGGCCGGAAGGCUGAACCAGCCAUGCCGCGUGAAGGUCAGUGCCCUAUGGGCGUUAAACUUCUUUUGUGCGGGAGCAAUAAUGGUCACGUGUGGCUAGACGAGAGUACCGUACGAAUAAGCAUCGGCUAACUCCGUGCCAGCAGCCGCGGUAAUCCGGGGGAUGCAAGCGUUAUCCGGAUUUAUUGGGUUUAAAGGGUGCGUAGGCUGUGAGGUAAGUCAGCGGUGAAAUGCCCCCGCUCAACGGGGGGAAGUGCCAUUGAUACUGGCUUGCUGGAGUGCGGAUGCCGUAGGAGGAAUGUGUGGUGUAGCGGUGAAAUGCAUAGAUAUCACACAGAACACCGAUUGCGAAGGCAUCUCACG
rnacentral:rRNA from 1 species